AUUGAACGCUGGCGGCAUGCCUUACACAUGCAAGUCGAACGGUAACGGGCCUUCGGGUGCCGACGAGUGGCGAACGGGUGAGUAAUACAUCGGAACGUGCCCGAUCGUGGGGGAUAACGAGGCGAAAGCUUUGCUAAUACCGCAUACGAUCUACGGAUGAAAGCAGGGGACCGCAAGGCCUUGCGCGGACGGAGCGGCCGAUGGCAGAUUAGGUCGUUGGUGGGAUAAAAGCUUACCAAGCCGACGAUCUGUAGCUGGUCUGAGAGGAUGAUCAGCCACACUGGGACUGAGACACGGCCCAGACUCCUACGGGAGGCAGCAGUGGGGAAUUUUGGACAAUGGGCGAAAGCCUGAUCCAGCCAUGCCGCGUGAAGGAUGAAGGCCUUCGGGUUGUAAACUGCUUUUGUACGGAACGAAAAGCCUUCUUUUAAUACAGGAGGGUCAUGACGGUACCGUAAGAAUAAGCACCGGCUAACUACGUG
rnacentral:rRNA from 1 species